rnacentral:tRNA from 1 species
GGGGGGACAGCUCAGCGGUAGGGCGCAUGCUCCGCAUGCAUGAGGUCCUGGGUUCAGUCCCUAGUAUCUCCA